ACUCCUACGGGAGGCAGCAGUGGGGAAUAUUGCACAAUGGGGGAAACCCUGAUGCAGCCAUGCCGCGUGUGUGAAGAAGGCCUUCGGGUUGUAAAGCACUUUCAGUAGGGAGGAAGGUAGUGUAGUUAACACCUGCACUAUUUGACGUUACCUACAGAAGAAGCACCGGCUAACUCCGUGCCAGCAGCCGCGGUAAUACGGAGGGUGCGAGCGUUAAUCGGAAUUACUGGGCGUAAAGCGCAUGCAGGCGGCCUGUUAAGUCAGAUGUGAAAGCCCGGGGCUUAACCUCGGAAUUGCAUUUGAAACUGGCAGGCUAGAGUCUUGUAGAGGGGGGUAGGAAUUUCAGGUGUAGCGGUGAAAUGCGUAGAGAUCUGAAGGAAUACCAGUGGCGAAGGCGGCCCCCUGGACAAAGACUGACGCUCAGAUGCGAAAGCGUGGGGAGCAAAACAGGAUUAGAUACCCUGGUAGGAUAGCG
rnacentral:rRNA from 1 species